GACGAACGCUGGCGGCGUGCUUAACACAUGCAAGUCGAACGAAGUGGCUGACGGGUGAGUAACGCGUAAUCAACCUGCCCCUCAGAGGGUGACAACAGUUGGAAACGACCGCUAAUACCGCUUACUGAAGGUGGGUCUUGCGUAGGAUUAGCUAGGGGGAGGGGUAACGGCCCACCAAGGCGAAGGUCAGUAGUCGGUCUGAGCGGCUGGACGGCCACCUUGGGACUGAGGAACGGCCCAGACUUCUACGGGAAGCAGCAGUUGGGAAUCUUCCGAAAUGGACGAAAGUCUGACGGAGCAACGCCGCGUGGGUGAAGACGGCCUUCGGGUUGUAAAGCUCUGUUAAUCGGGACGCGGUACCGGAAUAGAAAGCCACGGCUAACUACGUGCCAGCAGCCGCGGUAAUAC
rnacentral:rRNA from 1 species